rnacentral:rRNA from 1 species
AGCGAACGCUGGCGGCAGGCCUAAUACAUGCAAGUCGAACGGCUCUUCGGAGCAGUGGCGGACGGGUGAGUAACGCGUGGGAAUGUGCCCUUAGGUACGGAACAACACAGGGAAACUUGUGCUAAUACCGUAUGUGCCCUUCGGGGGAAAGAUUUAUCGCCUUUGGAGCAGCCCGCGUUGGAUUAGGUAGUUGUUGCGGUAAAGGCUCACCAAGCCGACGAUCCAUAGCUGGUCUGAGAGGAUGACCAGCAACACUGGGCCUGAGACCCGGCCCAGACUCCUACGGGAGGCAGCAGUAGGGAAUCUUGCGCAAUGGGCGAAAGCCUGACGGAGCCAUGCCGCGUGUAUGAUGAAGGUCGUAGGAUUGUAAAAUACUUUCACCGGGGAAGAUAAUGACGGUACCCGGAGAAGAAGCCCCGGCUAACUUCGUGCCAGCCGCCGCGGUAA